ensembl:lncRNA
AAAAUAAUGCUAUUUCAAUCAUGAGCCAAUAGAGGACCACCCUUUGCAUUUGGCGGCUGAGUUCUGAUUUGAUCCUUAACCUCUUCAGGUUCAGUGACAAUAUCAUUCCCCAGCUUCCCGAAAACCAGAGUCGCUCCCAGCAUAACCUCAAAAUGGCCGCCGAGGCCUAUGGGAAACGUAGACUUGAAUCCUUCUGGCUCCCGCGCGGCACUAUGGGAAAGGGAUUCCGGGCUCCCUCUGCGCAUGUGUAGCCAUAGCCCCGCCUCCUCCCUCGUCUUCUCUGGACUCCGCGGGAGCCUUUAGCUGAGCCACAGUUCUCUUCACUUGCCCAGGAGCCACAGAAAGUGAACAUCCCUCAGAUACUGUAAACAGUAUAAUGGAUUUUCUAAUAUGAACUUGAAUUCCUGUAUAGACCCUAGUUGCUAAGUGUGCAGACUCUAAACAUCGGGAGUAGAGGAACAGGCCCUUGCCAUAUUGUGCUCUCUAGCUCUGCACGGCCCCCUGUCAGCACCAAUGGCUACAAGACUAUCCUUUCUCCAUUGAAUUACCUUGGCACCUCUGUGGGAAGUCAACCGGCAAUGCAUCAGUGUCAUUCAAGGACAUGAUUGUGGAGUUCACCAGGAGGAGUGGUGGCAGAUGGACUGCACAGAGGACACUCUGCAGAGAUGUGAUGAUGCUGGAGAACUACAGCCACCUCGUCCCUGUGGGAAUGAGUUUGCUGGGUCUUCUGGUAAGUUGACAUGUAACUGUGUGAGAAGCUACAAAUGUGUCCAAGCUGGCUCUACUGUUUUUCAUGCCCAUAAGCAAUGUCCGAGAGUUCUCAUUGCUCUCUGGUUACCAACAGAUGCUUUGGAGAUUUCUCUACUGCUCUCUGCCUUCCCAAAGACUGUCUCACCAGGAUGCACAAGAACUCCUCUUCUUCAUGGAAACUGAUGGUAGCUGAUUAAUUUGGAAGAAGUGCAAUUAGCAGGAUUAUUCUGCACCCAAAGUACCUUGUUAACACUACAGCAUCUAAUUUGCUUCUCUACAGAGACCAAGACGCCCAAGUUCCAUUUUAAUUUUGACUCUGUAGAUUUGUUCAGUAUACAGUAGUUUAAAGGACCAUUUCACCCUAGUUUGGUAGAUAAUUCGACAAGCCUCCAUUUGUACAACUUUGAUUGGCAGUAAUUACAAAUAAUAAUUACAGAAACAGUUAAAAGCACCUAUACUAAUAUAACUCUUUGGGAGCCUGAUAUAAAUGGGAUUUUAAAAAAAUAGGAUAUUUGAGGAUAAUGAUGGGUGCAGUCCAUGUUCAAACAGACUUUGUGGUGUGAUGCCUUUAUUGUCAGGUACAAUUUAAGCUGUAGACACUCUUGAAAUUACAGGCUUCGGGGGGCAGGCUAAGAGAGAUUUUGAAACAAUGUACAAAUUAGGAAUAAUUAUAGCAAUGAUUGUGGAAUGUCAACAUGCAUUUCAUAAUGAUGAGCUCAGUCUCCUUCAAAGUUCUGUUGAAUCCAGGAAAGCAUUAGUAUAAGACCAGGGGAAGCUUUGGGAUGAAUGCCUUGAAGUGUUAAGGAGUAGAGUGACUGAUAGCCAACAAAUACAAAAGUGGACUAAUGAGCAAAUGUCUCGAUCACCAGUAGAAAUU